GGCUCAUGUUCUGCUUUCUGUUUUAAUUUUUCCCCCCGGUGUUGGGUUCAGGAUUUUUACAGUUACAGUUGGAGGCGGGUUGAUAGGAUUUGGAUCUGCGCGGACGGGAGUUUUAGGGAGGGAGGGAGGGAGCAGAUUCAGGAAUCCGCAUGAUUGAUUAGCUGAUGGUCAGGGUAGGAGAAGUAGGACGAUUAGCGGAAUGGUAUCGAGGCCGCCCCUAGAUCCCGUCGCCUGGGGAGAGGAGGCGCAGUCGGAUCGCUCCGCUGCCUUGGCCCUGGAGAACUGCCUUCGCUUGGGGAUGCGAGAUGAAGGCAGCUAGGCUGCUUGAUUCAAGUCAAAUUAGCAGGGGGCUGAUUCUGAAUUCCUAAUAGCUACAGUACUGCAGACAUCCAUAUAUUCAGGCUAUGGUUCAGAGUCUGCAUUGCAUGAAGAGAACUGAAUGAUGGUAGUUCAGUACAAACCCAUACAUAGUAAGGAGGUUCCUUCAACUGCCCAACAAUGCUGUAUUUAUGAAAUCAUAUCCGGACUGCUGUUUCCUAAGUUUAUUACUCAACUUAUAUUAAACUGUACUUUGCUUCGAAAACUUUUUGGCUGCUAUCAGAAUCAAGUUGGCACUUUUCAAAACCAAAAGUCACAGCGAUUUUGUUAUGCAAGUAACUUGAUAUAGCAUCUGCUGCAUCUGGGUGGAUUUGUGGUUGUUAACAAACACGCUAUGUGAUCUACAGUAAACAGUAACUCAUAUGUAUUUUUCACUCUUAGAACAGCAUGUUUUUCAUUUGAUAUACAAAAAUUAACUUACAUCCCUCUCUUCAUCUGUUUCCUCGAAGUCCCUAGACGUCUUUCUCAAGUGCCCUCUUCCUGCAACCAAGCAGGUUGUUAAUCCCAACAACAGAAUUUACAACAAGAAGCUUGAGUGAUGUAUUUCCUGAAUGCCUUGGUAUUUUUCAGUUAGUUCUAGAGGGAUCAGUUGCUAGUUUGUAGCAUUAGAGAAUUGUGAAGCGAAGGACGGAAAUCAUGGAUUAAGAAUAGAAGAUGGUAUCGAGUAUUGACACAAUUAAUAUAACCGUGGUAUAUAAUCAUGGACCAUCAUUCAGUUCUAAAGAAGUUCAGUAAAUGUGUACGUCCCAUUCUGUAAAUACAAUAUUUUACAAACAAUUUAGAUACAACAACCUGAUCUUUGUUUUCUUUUUCACAAGAAGCUAUUUUUGGCUUACAUGAAGGGAUGCAUGCUCUUCAUCUUGCAGGUAUGACUCAUCCUCGCAUUCUUACUUCGCCUUUGUUUCCUUCAGCUUCUUGAUCCUGAAAUUUUAAGAUAAAUUUGUUUCUUGAACAUGGUCAGGGACUCAGGGCAAUGGAUAAAAUCUAGAUGCCAAGUUGACUUUUUUCCUGCGGAUUUGCUUAUCGUGAAGAUGCACAAAGGGUUAAUAGCUCAAGCAUUGGAUUGUUGGCAAAAUAGAAGUUCCUUCACCAAAGGAAGAAAGUAGUUGCACCGAUUCGGAAGCUACUAGAGAUACUGAAAACUUUGAAACUAGUGGCGAUGACGACAAUGAUCGUAAUCACAAGCACCGAAGACCACUGCCACGUUCUUGCACUAUAGUAUUAUCUCAAUCACAGCAUUGAAAUAGUAUAAUAUAUUACUUCACAUUUUCUGUAUCAUGAGGAUCAUGGCCACGUUGUGCCAAUAUGUGUAGCCUUGAAAGGUGUCCUCUUAAGUGUAGUUACCAUUAAUGAUUUGAGUUGCAAUUAACGUUCCUCACAAUACGCUCCAAAAUCCUAACUGAGUAGCGUCAAUGAGUGUCAGAUUCAGAUCCAA